AUACCUUUCUCGGCCUUUUGGCUAAGAUCAAGUGUAGUAUUUGUUCUUAUUAGUUUAAUAUCUGAUAUGUGGGGUAAGUGUCCACUUUGAUAUUAAAUUUAUUUUUUUGGGGGGAGGGCCCACCACAGUGGCUAGCCACUGGGGUUUUGAGCGUCGCCCAGCCGUUGCACUAUUGGCAGGGUUUGGCGCACCCCAA